UGGGCACCCUUCACCUUUAGAUUGGCCUUUUGGGGUAUCCCCCGGUCCAGUGUUCUCCUUGGUUCCUGGCCUCUGGACUCAACUGGAUUCAAACUACCCACUCGACAUGGCAGGGUUUCUCUGUGUAGCUCUUACUAUCUUGGAACUGGCUCGGUAGCCCAGGCUAGCCUCCAACUCAUCAUGUAGCCAGAGGCUGGAUUGAAACUCUCAACCUUCCUCCACUUCCCAAAUGGUAGGAUGUUGGGGCUGCACCAGCACACCCAGCUCUUUUUACCUCCUACUGAAACUCAAGUCUAAUAAAUUCUCAGGUGCUUAUGGGUGAUGUGCCAGACCGUGGGGGGCGCCCAAGCGAGCUGGAGGCUCCCAUGCCUACCUGGAAGAGCCGAAGAGAGGAUGGAGGAAGGGGGAAAGCUGGCCAGCAGCGCUGGGGCCGCAGAAAGAAGAAGAAGUAAAGGGCCUUCCAGGGUCGGUUGCAGGUUCUGUUGGGUGCUGACGCCGCUGUCAAUCCUUGGGGGGGCCACUGAGGGUUGUCUUUGGCAAGCCUUGUCUUCCCUGUCCCGCAGGUCCUAAAUGCCCUACACCCAGCCACCACUCCACACCAUGAACCAUGAACUACGAACUGUGUUGUGUGAAAAAUAAAUUUAAUUCUUUUGAUUGUUA
rnacentral:lncRNA from 1 species